rnacentral:tRNA from 1 species
GUCUUCGUAGCUCAGUGGAGAGAGCGCCAGGUUGCGGACCUGAAGGUCGCUGGUUCGAGUCCAGCCGAGGACA